AAUCAACGCUGGCGGCGUGCCUCAGACAUGCAAGUCGAACGAUUAAAGCUCUCUUCGGAGAGUGCAUAAAGUGGCGCACGGGUGAGUAACACGUGAGUAAUCUGCCCUCGAGUGGGGAAUAACGUCCGGAAACGGACGCUAAUACCGCAUAACGCAGCGGCACCGCAAGGUGCCGGUUGUUAAAGGAGCAAUCCGCUUGAGGAGGAGCUUGCGGCAGAUUAGCUUGUUGGUAGGGUAACGGCCUACCAAGGCUACGAUCUGUAACCGGUCUAAGAGGACGGUCGGUCACACUGACACUGAAUAACGGGUCAGACUCCUACGGGAGGCAGCAGUCGGGAAUUUUGGGCAAUGGGGGAAACCCUGACCCAGCAACGCCGCGUGAAGGAUGAAGUAUUUCGGUAUGUAAACUUCGAAAGAAUAGGAAGAAUUAAUGACGGUACUAUUUAUAAGGUCCGGCUAACUACGUGCCAGCCGCCGCUGUAAGAC
rnacentral:rRNA from 1 species